UACGUAGGUGGCAAGCGUUGUCCGGAUUUAUUGGGUUUAAAGGGUGCGUAGGCGGCAUUUUAAGUCAGUGGUGAAAUACUUCAGCUUAACUGGAGAGGUGCCAUUGAUACUGGGAUGCUUGAGUACUGAUGGGGUAGGCGGAAUGGACGGUGUAGCGGUGAAAUGCUUAGAUAUCGUCCAGAACACCGAUAGCGAAGGCAGCUUACUAAGGAGUAACUGACGCUGAGGCACGAAAGUGUGGGGAUCAAACAGG
rnacentral:rRNA from 1 species